AUUGAACGCUGGCGGCAGGCCUAACACAUGCAAGUCGAGCGGAGCGGCGGACGGGUGAGUAAUGCCUAGGAAUCUGCCUGGUAGUGGGGGAUAACGUCCGGAAACGGGCGCUAAUCACGCAUACUAUCAGAGGAGCCUAGGUGGGAGUGGCUAGUUGGUGGGGUAAAGGCCUACCAAGGCGACGAUCCGGAACUGGUCUGAGAGGAUGAUCAGUCACACUGGAACUGGGACACGGUCAAGCGUCCUACGGGAGGAGGCAGUGGGGAAUAUUGGGCAAUGGGCGAAAGCCUGAUGCAGCCAUGCCGCGUGUGUGAGGAAGGUCUUCGGAUUGUAAAGCACUUGAAGUUGGGAGGCGUUACCAAGAGAAUAAGCACCGGCUAACUUCGUGCCAGCAGCCGCGGUAAUAC
rnacentral:rRNA from 1 species